GGUGGCUCAGUGAUAGAGUGCUUGCCUAACAUGCAUGAGGCCCUGGGUUCAAUUCCUCAGCACCA
rnacentral:tRNA from 1 species